rnacentral:lncRNA from 1 species
CAAAAAUUAAAGAGGUGGAAGGAAGUCUCGAUUACAGUUCCUCAAAAAUGACACAUUCGCUCCUCAGGAGUAUUUGGACUCUUGUUGGUAAAGAUAGACGAUGUUGCUAGUCUAUAUCUAAACCAUUUUUGCUUUGUGUCGCAAAUAAAGAUCCUGGAAUACCACGCGCGGACUCGCAUUUGAAGAGUUCCAGUCUAGACCAAGCCUCUCCAUUCUUCUCCUCACGAGGACUUCGGGACAUCUAACAGCGAAGAAGAAUGGAAUCGGAGACCCAUUUGACACAUGGUCCCCAGGCUGUGAGAAACUCUUUCGAGCCCUCCAUAAUAGUAUAAAGUCCUUCAAAUCCACUUCCCCCUGGCAGAAGAAUUGACUCGCUGAAUAUAAGUCGACCUCCUUGGCGCACUCAUCUCUACUUCUCAGUUCGACCGAGAAUGGGACGUACCUCAUUAGAUAAAAAACUUUUGGAAGGACGUAAAUGUUCCAUGCUAACAUUGCUUCGUACCUAGAAAGGGGAGUGAUCCUCUAAAUCAUGAUACUUCUUUAGAGCAUAUUCAUUAUUUUAUUUUCGUUCUUGCUUCUAGCCUCAUAGUUGGACAAAGCAACUUCAAUUCCAAGUAGAGAGGUUAACGUAACGAACGCAAAGUUUCCAAGUUGUGGCCUCAGGAAUUCUUCAAAGUUCGACAAAAUUUAUGUCUUCCCAAGAUUAAUCCUAAGUCCUGACUUCUUCCAGAAAAUCUGGAGCACCUCCAUGAAAGAAUUAAUAGAUUUCAGUAAGCCAUUUUCACACCCUGUAAGAAAUACAACCUUCAAUACUCGAAUCAUUCAUAAGCAUAAGAAGAGGGAUGGUGAGAGUAGAUCACCCUGCCGAGCUGGCCUUCCGAUCAAAAUUUCAUGGAGCUACUCGCUCGUGGUAAAUCAAUCUUUGACGAAGUACUUCGCAGAAUUGCUGAAACCAUUUUUACGAAACCAAUAGGGAAGCUAAACCUAAAAAGUUGCUCUAUUAUGAACUUAUGAGACAAUGUGUCAAAGGCGUUUUCGAAAUCCAUCAGAAGUGCAGUGUAUUUUAUUUUAGUGCGCACUUAAUAAUCCAUAGCGUCCUGAAGAGACCGGGGAAUGUCUUCUGGACUCCGAGACUUCAUGAAGCCUUUCUGUGCUGGGGAUAUAAUAAGAGGAAGGAUCUUAACCACCCUCUGGUUAAGUAUGCCCAAAUUUCCUUACGAAUCUCCUUUGAGUCCAACAGGGACACGUUCAAUUUCCAACGUGAUUUACGGGGUCCAGAUGGGUAACCAAAUGAUGUAGACACUGGGUUGUGAUCCGAAAUGUAGCAUUUAAGGACUUUAAAAUCUUUAAGAAGGUUUGAUGCUCUGUAUGAUGAAAAAACAUAAUCAAGUCGUCCAUAUAUAUCCCUUCCAGACUUGGUCUUUGUGCGAAACGUCAUUAGAGGAGAGUUUGCUUCCGUGGUCAAACCCAGAUCGCACAAAUUCAGAGUUUUAAUAAUUUUGUCCAGAUUUUUGGUAUUGGCUUUAUUAUUUGACCCCUUAUAUCCACGAUCAUCUCUGUCUGGUUUGAAGGUGACGUUGAGAUCACCUGCAAUGAAGGCUUCAUUUCCCAGUGAGGGGGAGUAUUUUUCCACUAUAUUAGAAAACCAAUCUUUUGAGUUUGAAUUACUACCAUAGAUUGCAUACAAUGUUUUUUUUUUAAAAGAAGUCUAUGUCUACCACAAUAUAAUUCCCAUCCGGAUCUGUAGCCACAAGCUGGGGAUUGAGAGAACUCUUUAUAAGGACAAUAACUCCUCUGGACGGGUGUGAAGUAUGCCUAACUGCUUUAGCGAGAAUGAACACAUGAGAUUUAGGGAUAAGAUGUCGUACAUAAUUGGGGUCUUCUAGUCUAGUAUCUACUAAGAUUAUGAUGUCUGAGAAAGAAAUUAUACUCAAAUAGUUAAAAACUUUUUUUGCCCUAACCACCGAUGAAAUCGAAUUAACAUAAUAUGUUAUUAAUGAAAAUAACUUGGCUUUGUGAUUGGAGUAAGGUUUUUAACUCCAGUGACUCUCUAUUAUAUCUGGGAAGCCGAUUGAAUGUAAAUAACUAACUAACUUCAUGACCCGUUGUGCAUUGUAAAUAGAAUUGACAUUGAAUGGAAAUAGAGAAGGCAUCGGACUUUAAAGUUUACAAUUUUAUAAAUUUUGUAUUAAUGUCGGAGGUCUAUUUUUAUCCCUUGGUGUCUCCUCCCGGCUGGACUUAAGCGAUUUGGAUUCAUGAGGGCUUGAACGACAGUCUUUUUUUUCACGCUUUUCGUCUAAAACUACCACCGUAUCCACUUGAUAAUAUUCAUCCAUACUUAGUUGUUCUAAUUGUUCUGUACUAUUACUUUUGAGACUGUAUUUGUUUACUUUUGAAGAUAAUAUUAGUAUUUUCUUUGACAUGCACUCAUAAGAACCUUUACUGGUAUGGAUGUUAAGAAGAGGUCCAUCUCCUAAAAAUUCUUCAUUCGACUCCUCCAACAGACUGGCGUUGCUUUUCAUACAACCUAGCGAGACGAUUGAACUCUUAACCGACCCAGUAUCACCUUCAUCAACUCUGCACGUAUUUUCUUUUUCCAGUUGUAUCACUGAACUUGAAAGCGGGUUAUUUCUCGAUUUUAUCUUCGACAUUGACUCUUCAGUAGCCUCGUUCAAGGAUACCUUCUCUGAGGGUGUUCAGUGCAAGAUUUUUGAUUAUCUUUAUACGAUACUGUCUUUGACUCACCUUUUAAGUAUGUAUUACUCUUAAUUUCAACACAAAGUGUCUACAUCUCCCAACUUGCGCUUUUGUACCGCUUGAGCAUAUGUUUUUGCCGCUCUAUCAACCUUUCCCCUCGUUACUAAGAGUGCCUGAACCUGAAACAGUUGGAACACUGAUUUCUCAUCCUCUCACAAUUCAAUUUGACUAUUUGCCCCUUUACUGGAAGGAGCGAAGGUAUUAUUGAUGGGUCACUCAACACUUGAAAUACGAUUGAACUACUCUCUAUAACAUUUUCUUGCACCUUAAGGGCUGGAUGUAUGGCAAGACUUUCCCUGUUUACUUCCGAUCGAACAUAACCUUCUUUUUUCACGUCUUCCACAAAAAGUUUCAAGAAUUGAUGGGGAGUUCCAAGUGGUGGUAAAAACUGGAUGGAACCCAGGGGUUUCCUGCCUGCUCCUAUAGAGUUUCUGGGAUUCUCCUCGACUUUCAACCGCAUGGAGACAUUGUAAAUCGUCUUCCUAAAAGCCCAAGUCUGUUUUCAGUUGACUUUCUGGCAGAAUCCCCCACGAAGGAACGCUGCAAUCUCCAUCCUCUUCUUGUACUUUGUGCUCAUGGUGGCGACUAGGGCAAUAUUUUUAUUGGCAAUCCACAGCAUGUGUUCUACAGCAUAGUUCAUCGGGCCAUCGUAAAAUAUGCAUCUAAACACCUCUACUAUGGCAUAAUAGGGAUGAAUAAAUAAUAAGAGCUGGCCCGGGAAGUAUGAUUUUACAUCAGCAAUGAGGCUAAGAGUCACCUGGGAUCGAAUGCACAUUGAUUUCAAGAGAAUAAUAUCUCCUGAGCGCGUUGUUACUGAGCUAUGGGGAUUUAUUGUUUUCUUUUAGUUUUACAUCAAAAAAUGAUCACACAAGUUUUCGGAUCCUUAGAUGAGCCAGUCCAUACAUGUAAAUGGGGCCUUAAUGAAAACAUCAAUAACUCGGGAACAAAUUUUGGGCCGGGAGUUUUUACAGUAAAAGGUAAAACAUAUCUAAAAAUGAAGAAAAUCUAAACACCUUGGUGUAAAUUUUGAAUUUUUUUUUUGACUGAUUUAAUAUGGAAUGAAUGAACCACGUCUAUUUCUUGGACAUUGCAUGCUGGAUUGUGCCGAGAAAAACUGUCUCAAGCCCGUACCGGAUCAGAUACUGGGUUCAAAUUAAAACUAGAUGCCGGAAUUCCUUGCUAACAUAUUAACCAAUCUUAGAAAAUCAAGACUACACUUAAGAAAUAAAUAAUCCAUACCUUGAAAUUUUCGAAGACACUCCCUUUCCAAGAUCACGGUCUACGCUCUCAGCAAGUGUGAAAUGUUGGAGAGGAAAAAAGGCUCUGUCAAAAAGGCCAAACUGGAUCCAGAUGAGUUUAAAAAAAACCGCCCAUG